AGAGUUUGAUCCUGGCUCAGGACGAACGCUGGCGGCGUGCCUAACACAUGCAAGUCACGGGGGCCCGCAAGGGCAACCGGCGAACGGGUGCGUAACACGUGAGCAAUCUGCCGAUUUCUGGGGGAUAGCCGGUCCAACGACCGGGUAAUACCGCAUACGCUCAUUGGGGGACAUCCCCUGAUGAGGAAACCUCCGGGGGAAAUCGAGGAGCUCGCGGCCUAUCAGCUAGUUGGUGCGGUAACGGCGCACCAAGGCGACGACGGGUAGCUGGUCUGAGAGGAUGGCCAGCCACAUUGGGACUGCGACACGGCCCAGACUCCUACGGGAGGCAGCAGUGGGGAAUAUUGCGCAAUGGACGAAAGUCUGACGCAGCGACGCCGCGUGUGGGAUGAAGC
rnacentral:rRNA from 1 species